rnacentral:tRNA from 1 species
UGAUGGGUGGCAGACACAUGCCUUAGGCUUAAGACCUAAUUAUGAGCCCUAGACUCCCCAUCAA